GCUAGCAGCCAUAUCGCCCUGCAACUCACAACUGGCAACCCACUGAAGCUAAGCAGGGCUGAGCCUGGUCAGUUCCUGGUUGUGAGACCUCCUAGGAAAACCUGUGGUUGCUUCUG
rnacentral:rRNA from 1 species